rnacentral:tRNA from 1 species
CAGGGGAUAGUUUAAUUAAAAUAUUAAUUUUGGAGAUUAAAGAUAAAAGUGAUUUUUCCCUUGA